GCCUACGGGGGGCAGCAGUGGGGGAUAUUGCACAAUGGGGGGAACCCUGAUGCAGCGACGCCGCGUGGGUGAAGGAGUGCUUCGGCAUGUAAAGCCCUAUCGGCAGGGAAGAAGCAAGACGGUACCUGACUAAGAAGCCCCGGCUAACUACGUGCCAGCAGCCGCGGUAAUACGUAGGGGGCGAGCGUUGUUCGGAAUUACUGGGCGUAAAGGGUGUGUAGGCGGGAAAGGAAGAUAGUGGUGAAAAGCCUGAGCUCAACUUUGGAACUGCCAUUAUAACUAUUUUUCU
rnacentral:rRNA from 1 species